rnacentral:rRNA from 1 species
UGGGGAAUAUUGGACAAUGGGCGCAAGCCUGAUCCAGCCAUGCCGCGUGAGUGAUGAAGGCCCUAGGGUUGUAAAGCUCUUUCACCGGUGAAGAUAAUGACGGUAACCGGAGAAGAAGCCCCGGCUAACUUCGUGCCAGCAGCCGCGGUAAUACGAAGGGGGCUAGCGUUGUUCGGAUUUACUGGGCGUAAAGCGCACGUAGGCGGACUAUUAAGUCAGGGGUGAAAUCCCGGGGCUCAACCCCGGAACUGCCUUUGAUACUGGUAGUCUUGAGUUCGAGAGAGGUGAGUGGAAUUCCGGGUGUAGAGGUGAAAUUCGUAGAUAUUCGGGGGAACACCAGUGGCGAAGGCGGCUCACUGGCUCGAUACUGACGCUGGGGUGCGAAAGCGUGGGGGGCAAACAGG